rnacentral:lncRNA from 1 species
AACAAAUGUCUGUAGAGAUUCAUCUGACUCCUAAUGAUAACAGGGAUGAUACAAAGAGAACUUCAGCUCAGCUAAAAAUGGGAGCAGAGAUGGAAUGGACAGAGCACUAGCCUGGCUGACCCUGGGUAGGAGUCUCAGUGCUCCCAUUUAGUAACCACACAACAAUGGUCAAGUCAUCUUUCUUAGAAGAACUAUCUAAUCCUUUGUCAAAUGGAAAUAAUGACUACCCUGCACCCAGAUGGCCAUGAUGAAGUGACUGCAAGGGCCAUAUGAAUCAUUCUCUCCUUCAUUUCUUCCUCCAUCACCUGAUCAAAAAGAGGUUUCUUUCAUAGCUUUGAUAAAGACACUCUCCUGCUCAAGAAUCAUUGGUGACUCCCUAUUGCUUCCACAAUAAAAUGCAAACUCCUAC